rnacentral:tRNA from 1 species
GGAGAGUUGGCAGAGUGGCUAAUUGCACCUGUCUUGAAAACAGGAGAACACGUUAGUGUUCCAGAGGUUCGAAUCCUCUACUCUCCGCCA